rnacentral:lncRNA from 11 species
UACAGUAGAGUCUCACUUAUCCAAGCUAAACGGGCCGGCAGAAGCUUGGAUAAGUGAAUAUCUUGGAUAAUAAGGAGGGAUUAAGGAAAAGCCUAUUAAACAUCAAAUUAGGUUAUGAUUUUACAAAUUAAGCACCCAAACAUUAUGUUAUACAACAAAUUUGACAGAAAAAGUAGUUCAAUACGCAGUAAUGCUAUGUUGUAAUUACUGUAUUUACAAAUUUAGCAUCAAAAUAUCAUGAUAUAUUGAAAACAUUGACAGCAAAAAUGACUUGGAUAAUCCAGAAGCUUGGAUAAGUGAAGUUUGGAUAAGUGAGACUCUACUGUAUUGAUGAUGAAUAUAGAAUCAGACAAUCACAGAGUUGGAAGAAACCACAAAGACCCACCAAUCUUACCUUCUUCUAGCAUUCAGGAAUAUAUAGUCAAAGCCCACUGAGGAGUGGCUUUGGGAGCUGGGUCUAUUAAUCUUGAUAGAAGAUUGAGAGAGGAUGUAAUAGUCAGGUUCCAAUAUUUAAAAGAAUGUCAUAUUACGAUAUGAGUAAAUUUGUUUUUUGCUGCUCCGGAAACUAGGACAAGGAAAGACGAUUCAAACUGCAGGAAAACUGAUCCCAUUUAAGCAUUAGGAAGAAGCAAAAUGCCAGGAAGUAAAUUUUUAAAAGGAGUAAGGGGGCAGAGUGUUAAGGUUCCCUUAAAGUUUCUCAUUCCUUCAUCUCUGGAAAAGUCAGAUUUCCUCUUGCCUUUCCUAGAAAUGUUUUAUAAGACAUGGAGUAAAUAGAGAAAGAGGGAGAGAAAAAUGUCAUAAAAUGGGAGAACUUUGGUUGAGAAGCAAAUUGGAAGCAAAGCCCUUUGUUCCCCUUAGCAGCUAUAGUUUCCCCCAUGCCCAUCAGGGUUUCACGUGCAACAGAAUUGCCAUCUUUUAUUGGGAACACUCCUCUGGUUCACUGGCAACCACACAAACCCUUCUGCUUGUAAAACCAUCCCAUCUGGUCCCUGGAUCUCCUGCAGUUGGUGGCUGGCAGAGCGACAGAGAAGCCCUUACAAUGGAGCCUGUUCUGGCUGCCAGGUGGGAAAUCAUCUUGCCAGCCAUCCUGUGCCUUGCAGAAGCAGCACCCACAGGUCCCGUGAUCACUGCGGGAAGAACUGAAGAACUGAAGUCAACCUUCCCCAUCAACAUCAGCAGUGAGAUGCCAGCUAUGAAAAUAGACCCUCUGCCAUGCAUAAUGGACACUAAUGGGACUUACACUGUAACUACCAUCUCUAAGGGAUAUGAAAUCUCAUUUGCUGCAACUGUGAUUAUGUCAGAUAAAAUGGUACUCGAUUCUGGAAGAUGUGGCACCAUUAAUCUUCAAAUCCUGUUGCCCAUUUUUGGAGCCCCCAUCACAACCAUUCAAGAUACAACCACUCAAGGGACUAUUUCAGAAGGGGCCUUUGUCCCUAAUAUAACCGAUCUUGGUGUCUCCACCUCUCCUCUUGAAGAUGCCACUAAAAAUGUUCCCCCAAAUAUUACCAACACAGUUUCUGAGAAGACUCCUUCAAUAAUAGACACAACAACAGUGGCUCAUAAAACUGCUACAGCUUUGACUAUGGAUAUCUUUGAUUUACUUCAGCAACCUUUCUCUGAUCAGGAAGAUGUUAGUACACGAGAAAUGCCAGAAACAGAAAGUCCUAUUGGUGCAAUUACUGGGAAAACAAGCUUCUCAGACCAUGAAGAUACCACCAUCACUCCCACACUUAGAGAGCCUUCAUCUGAUACUCAAGAGAAUCCUGAAACAUGUUACCUGGACUGUGAUGGUUUCCCAGCAUGGGCUACGGUUCUUAUUUGCUUGACAACAACAUUCUUCCUUUUUAUGCUAGUCGGCCUCUUGUUUUUGGUUCCUUACUGCAUGAAGUUCAGGCAUCCUCCUGCAAUGACGUAUAAUUCAUCCCCUCGAUAUUCUGCUUAGCAUUUUUCCUCUGCAAUAUUUUGGGAUGUUUUCAUACUAGUGAAAAACUAUACAGAAGUCUCACUAAUCACUUUAAUGUUUCCCAGCUGUCAUUAAACCUGUUUUUUUGAAGUGGAGAUGAAUAAUCAUAAAUAAUGGUUAGCACCUUACUAAUCUGUUAUAACUUUGCAGCUGUUUCCCAUUCCCAUUUAUCAUGAUGGUAGCUUUGGCAUGAUCAUAAAGGCCCCUAAAGCCCACUUUAAAAUCUAGACAGAUGCAUCAAGAACAGAAUUCUGCAGGACCAGCAAGCAGGGUGCCGAAGGAUGAGUUGCCCAGUCCACUCCCACCAGUGAGCCACAGUGCAAUGCCAGAAACAGGGACCACCUCAGGGUCUUUUCACAAUUCCUCAUACUAUAGCUGGUAGAAGGGUCCUGGGUGAAUCAUCAUCCUCCAGUGGCCCACUCUGCAAAUUUUUGCCUGGAUUUUAAGGUGAAUUUCAGAGUUCAGAUAGGUAAAGGUAAAGGUUUCCCCUGAUGUUAAGUCCAGUCAUGUCUGACUCUGGGGGUUGGUGCUCAUCUCCAUUUCUAAGCCAAAGAGCCAGCGUUGUCCGUAGACACCUCCAAGGUCAUGUGGCCAGCAUGACUGCAUGGAACGCUGUUACCUUCCUGCCGGAGUGGUACCUAUUGAUCUACUCACAUUGGCAUGUUUUCGAACUACUAGGUUGGCAGGAGCUGGAGCUAACAGUGGCUGCUCAUGCUGCUCCCGGGGUUUGAACCUGGGACCUUUCGGUCUGCAAGUUCAGCAGCUCAGCGCUUUAACCCACUUCACCACCGGGACUCCUAGGGUUCAGAUACAGGAGACUUAUCAUGGCGAUGACAUGUGACUAUGACUAUGCUUCUCCUACCUGUGUGGAGGCAUGUGUCUAACCAGUC